rnacentral:lncRNA from 1 species
AAGCACCAAAUCCUACCAGUUCUGGAAUUUUCUAUGGGGUAGCAAUAAGUGGGACUUUGCUCCCUCCCUUUUUGGAUCGGAAUGCUGAGCUGGUCCUUGAGGUCAGCAGAAAUCUCUGCAUGACACUGAUGUCUCCUUUAUUAAGGAUAUAGCAUUUCUUUUCAAAGAAACUGAGUAUAUUUUUAAGAAAAAUAAUAGUAUUGAUGGCCAGUUCCUAAAGUGAUGAAGAACCAGUGUUGGAGAAACCCUGCUUGGCAAUAGCACCGAGCGUGCAAUGAGG